rnacentral:rRNA from 1 species
CAGAGGUGGCAAGCGUUGUUCGGAAUUACUGGGCGUAAAGGGCGCGUAGGCGGCCUUCUAAGUCAGACGUGAAAUCCCCCGGCUUAACCUGGGAACUGCGUCUGAUACUGGAGGGCUUGAGUAUGGGAGAGGGAUGUAGAAUUCCAGGUGUAGCGGUGAAAUGCGUAGAUAUCUGGAGGAAUACCGGUGGCGAAGGCGGCAUCCUGGACCAUUACUGACGCUGAGGCGCGAAAGCUAGGGGAGCAAACGGGAUUAGAUACCCCGGUAGUCCUAGCCCUAAACGAUGAAUACUUGGUGUGGCGGGUAUCGAUCCCUGCCGUGCCGAAGCUAACGCAUUAAGUAUUCCGCCUGGGGAGUACGGUCGCAAGGCUG